rnacentral:tmRNA from 1 species
GGGGAUGUCUCUGGUUUCGACUGGUGGCAGACCACUUCUAAGACUGCGGUCCAAGCGCCAACUUGUUAAACUAGCACAAAAAAAUAAAUGCAAAGAAAGAAGACGAAGUAUUCGUUUCUGACGAAGCAGAAUUACUCGCAGCGUGAGCUUGCGAUCCGCUUUUAGAGUGCUGUUCCUAACUUGAAAAAGUGGUUGCCAACAGGGACUUGUUCUACUUAGGCUAGCAUAGGUAGAAGACUUUUAGUUAGCUGGAGUUUAAAUGGUUGGUUACAAUACCUAUUUAGGCUCAAGAUUUUAAAUUGUGACUACGGCUGUAGACGUUUUAGGAUGGCACACUAGGACGGGAGUUCGAAUCUCCCCAUCUCCA